rnacentral:rRNA from 1 species
GAUGAACGCUGGCGGCGUGCCUAAUACAUGCCAGUCGAGCGAACGGACGAGAAGCUUGCUUCUCUGAUGUUAGCGGCGGACGGGUGAGUAACACGUGGAUAACCUACCUAUAAGACUGGGAUAACUUCGGGAAACCGGAGCUAAUACCGGAUAAUAUUUUGAACCGCAUUGUUCAUAAGUGAAAGACGGUCUUGCUGUCACUUAUAGAUGGAUCCGCGCUGCAUUAGGUAGUUGUUAAGGUAACGGCUUACCAAGGCAACGAUGCAUAGCCGACCGGGGAGGGUGAUCGGCCACACUGGAAGUGAGACACGGUCCAGACUCCUACGGGAGGCAGCAGUAGGGAAUCUUCCGCAAUGGGCGAAAGCCUGACGGAGCAACGCCGCGUGAGUGAUGAAGGUCUUCGGAUCGUAAAACUCUGUUAUUAGGGAAGAACAUAUGUGUAAGUAACUGUGCACAUCUUGACGGUACCUAAUCAGAAAGCCACGGCUAACUACGUG